UCCGAGUUGACCCCGGCAGUCUCCUGUGAGUCCCCGGCAUAACCCGCUGGCAACACAGAACAAGGGUUGCGCUCGUUGCGGGACUUAACCCAACAUCUCACGACACGAGCUGACGACAACCAUGCACCACCUGUACACCGACCACAAGGGGGCCCCUGUCUCCAGAGGUUUCCGGUGUAUGUCAAGCCUUGGUAAGGUUCUUCGCGUUACGUCGAAUUAAGCCACAUGCUCCGCCGCUUGUGCGGGCCCCCGUCAAUUCCUUUGAGUUUUAGCCUUGCGGCCGUACUCCCCAGGCGGGGCACUUAAUGCGUUAGCUACGGCACGGAUUCCGUCGAUAGGAACCCACACCUAGUGCCCAACGUUUACGGCGUGGACUAC
rnacentral:misc_RNA from 1 species